AACGAACGCUGGCGGCAGGCUUAACACAUGCAAGUCGAACGGUUGUAGCAAUACAGCAGUGGCGCACGGGUGAGUAACGCGUGGGAACGUACCUUUUAGUUCGGAAUAACCAUUGGAAACAAUGGCUAAUACUGGAUACGCCCUUCGGGGGAAAGAUUUAUCGCUAAAAGAUCGGCCCGCGUAAGAUUAGGUAGUUGGUGGGGUAAUGGCCUACCAAGCCUACGAUCUUUAGCUGGUCUGAGAGGAUGAUCAGCCACACUGGAACUGAGACACGGUCCAGACUCCUACGGGAGGCAGCAGUGGGGAAUAUUGGACAAUGGGCGAAAGCCUGAUCCAGCCAUGCCGCGUGAGUGAUGAAGGCCUUAGGGUUGUAAAGCUCUUUUGUCAGGGAAGAUAAUGACGGUACCUGAAGAAUAAGCACCGGCUAACUUCGUGCCAGCAGCCGCCGUAA
rnacentral:rRNA from 1 species